CGCGGACUAUACAUGCAAGUCGAGCGGACAGAAGGGAGCUUGCUCCCGGAUGUUAGCGGCGGACGGGUGAGUAACACGUGGGUAACCUGCCUGUAAGACUGGGAUAACUCCGGGAAACCGGAGCUAAUACCGGAUAGUUCCUUGAACCGCAUGGUUCAAGGAUGAAAGACGGUUUCGGCUGUCACUUACAGAUGGACCCGCGGCGCAUUAGCUAGUUGGUGAGGUAACGGCUCACCAAGGCGACGAUGCGUAGCCGACCUGAGAGGGUGAUCGGCCACACUGGGACUGAGACACGGCCCAGACUCCUACGGGAGGCAGCAGUAGGGAAUCUUCCGCAAUGGACGAAAGUCUGACGGAGCAACGCCGCGUGAGUGAUGAAGGUUUUCGGAUCGUAAAGCUCUGUUGUUAGGGAAGAACAAGUGCAAGAGUAACUGCUUGCACCUUGACGGUACCUAACCAGAAAGCCACGGCUAACUACGUGCCAGCAGCCGCGGUAAUACGUAGGUGGCAAGCGUUGUCCGGAAUUAUUGGGCGUAAAGGGCUCGCAGGCGGUUUCUUAAGUCUGAUGUGAAAGCCCCCGGCUCAACCGGGGAGGGUCAUUGGAAACUGGGAAACUUGAGUGCAGAAGAGGAGAGUGGAAUUCCACGUGUAGCGGUGAAAUGCGUAGAGAUGUGGAGGAACACCAGUGGCGAAGGCGACUCUCUGGUCUGUAACUGACGCUGAGGAGCGAAAGCGUGGGGAGCGAACAGGAUUAGAUACCCUGGUAGUCCACGCCGUAAACGAUGAGUGCUAAGUGUUAGGGGGUUUCCGCCCCUUAGUGCUGCAGCUAACGCAUUAAGCACUCCGCCUGGGGAGUACGGUCGCAAGACUGAAACUCAAAGGAAUUGACGGGGGCCCGCACAAGCGGUGGAGCAUGUGGUUUAAUUCGAAGCAACGCGAAGAACCUUACCAGGUCUUGACAUCCUCUGACAACCCUAGAGAUAGGGCUUUCCCUUCGGGGACAGAGUGACAGGUGGUGCAUGGUUGUCGUCAGCUCGUGUCGUGAGAUGUUGGGUAGUCCCGCACGAGCGCACCAUGAUCUAGUGCAGCAUUCAGUGGCACUCUAAGUGACUGCGUGACAGCGAAGAGGUGGGGCAUGACGUCAAAUCCAUC
rnacentral:rRNA from 1 species